CACGGGGGGAGCAAGCGUUGUUCGGAUUCAUUGGGCGUAAAGGGCGCGUAGGCGGCCAGCACAAGUCAGUUGUGAAAUCUCCGAGCUUAACUCGGAACGGUCAACUGAUACUGUGCGGCUAGAGUGCGGAAGGGGCAACUGGAAUUCUUGGUGUAGCGGUGAAAUGCGUAGAUAUCAAGAGGAACACCUGCGGCGAAGGCGGGUUGCUGGGCCGACACUGACGCUGAGGCGCGAAAGCCAGGGGAGCGAACGGG
rnacentral:rRNA from 1 species